rnacentral:misc_RNA from 1 species
GUGAAUCAUCAAAUCUUUGAACGCAAAUUGCACUCUCUUCGGAGAGUAUGCCUGUUUGAGGGUCAGUAUUAAUAAAAAUCGGUGUGUUGCUUCUUUGUGACGCUCCGGAGUUUGGGUCAUCUUAAUAUAUACUUUAGGUUUUAAUAGGCUUAAAAUUGACUUUUUUUUGCGCAUUUUAUUAGAUGUAAAUUAAUUUUUUUUUUUAUUCGCAUGUCUUAAUGUUCAAAAUCCUAUUCGAUGAGAUCAUACCGUGUGGUUU